UUCCAUAUAUAAUCUCAAUCCUCUAUAGUGUGUACUGUGUAGUAUCUCAGCAAUAAAUUUUCUAAAAAGUCCUUUUAGUUUCCUUCGCAAGACGAUAUCUAUUCAUUUUCUGUAACGAUGGAGAUUGAUGUUACGUUUUUAUAGGCCAUAAAAAAGCUCAAGGCCUUGCGGAUUCACAAUCUCCUCUCCUCCAAAGCUUACGCCACUAUGGCCUCUGCUCUUUCAUAUCCAUCUCUUCCUCUCCGGUGAAGAAGAAACUCUUUUUUAUCUUCUCUGUCCUCUGUGUGGAUUCGCUACUCCAGUCUUACUCUACCAUCAACAUCUUCGCCAGCCACAAUAGCCAUCUACCUGGAUAAAUCGGAAAAGCUAUUGGUGCGCCGUCGAAGGAUUGUUGGGAGUAAACGUUCAAUGGUGUAUCUUCCUUCUCUUAUCUCUGUUAACCUGAUGACAUAGUCUUCUAGAUCUUUUUCUUUGGUUGUGAUGAAUUUUAGGGAUUCCUUGUGAAGAUCUCUGAUAUUAACAAGCUUUAUCAGCCGGAGAAGCUGCUUCUAUAUUUGAAUACGAUGUUGUUAAGGCCCGAAUUUUCCUUUUUAUCUGGCUGUUUUCGAAUUCUCAAAAUUUGUUUGAGCUUUGUUUUGUUUUUUUGUUUUUUGUCAUAAGGCGAGAUUACAAAUUUGGAUCAGACAUGGGCUACAGAUAUUCAAAAUGGUCUGAUUCAUUUUCUUUAAGUUCAACAUCUAAUGGCUCUAUCUCCCCACUUCCCCUGAUUCGAUUGUAUGUUUGUAUUAUCUGUAAUGGAAGUGUCCAUCUCACGUUUACAUGGUAUCUUCUCAUUUACACAAAUAACCAUUCCACAAGAAACUUUUAAUCUUUCCACUGAUUGCUGUAACUUUUAUACAAAUUGAUUACUAUGAAACAUGAGGAUUUAAUGCAUCUAUCACGGACUAUACUGCAGGAAGAAAUCGUUUGUGUAGAAGACAAGCAAAUGAGUGAAUUUUUCUUCCAUCUAAUCAGGAACCAAAGGCUUCCAAGCUUCAAAGAACUUUCAGGAUGGAAAAUCUAAUUAUUUGGGGCUGUACUUGGCUGAAAUAACUUGUGCAGGAUUCCUUCAGACGUGUGGUCAGCAUGAAACAUGAUUACAUUUCCUUUUCCUGGACAUCGUGGGAUCAUAAAGAAUUCAAGGUUAAUAUCAAUGGUUUAGUUGAGACUGCACCAGUUCCUGAAGAAGUCUAGAAUAUCCAUUACUGUACUCCUUGGCCCGGUAAUAUUGUGCGCGAUCAUCCUGCCAUGAACAAAGGUCUUCCUUGGAAACAAAGGUCUUAACGAUGUAGAAAACGAAGAGCUGCCUAGGCUGAUUUAUGUUCUCGUGAGGAGAGAGCCCAACUGACCAUCAUAAUAAGGCUGAAGAAAAUACAUUUAUUGCACUUGAAACUUGACCAACAGAUGAAAACAAGGUUUUUCAUGACUAUUUUUAAUCCCCCACAACAAAGUUAUUUCUUACGGUUUUUCAAGGAGCUAGAAAACAGAGAAUCUUAGUUUGGAAUCUGGGACAUACACAGCCGGCUUUGCAACUCUUGAAGUAGUGUUCAUGAACAUCGCUAGACGUGCUAAACUCAGUGGUGAAUCUAGAUUUAUUUUUCUCUGGGUGCACAAUGUGUAGAAAACAAAAUGGUGGGUGCAAUAAAGAGAAAUCUCUA